GCCACAAGCCCGUGUUCAUCGACUCUGACAAC
rnacentral:SRP_RNA from 1 species